rnacentral:tRNA from 1 species
AAUCAAUGAACUUGUAAAAGUAUAUAUUUUGAAAAUAUAAAAAAGAAAAAAUUUUCUAUUGAUUU